UAUUUUACAGUAACAUAUUAAAAUGAUUUUGAAAGUCAUUACCAGGUGGUUAAU
rnacentral:tRNA from 1 species